rnacentral:lncRNA from 1 species
UCUUCCUCAGGGGCAGGCAGGGGCUGGGGUGAGUCCUGGGGAACAGGUGGGAGAAUGGAAGGGGAGGGGGCUGGGUCACUUCCAACAAGGCAAAGUGGAGGGGGGAUGAGAGCCGCAACAAGGUUUCCUUAGCUGCCACAUCCUCUUCCUCUUCCUCCGAGUCCAGGGCUUGCCUUGACAGAGCUUGAGGACGGCCUAGU